rnacentral:rRNA from 1 species
UGGGGAAUAUUGCACAAUGGGCGCAAGCCUGAUGCAGCCAUGCCGCGUGUGUGAAGAAGGCCUUCGGGUUGUAAAGCACUUUCAGCGGGGAGGAAGGCGUUAAGGUUAAUAACCUUGGCGAUUGACGUUACCCGCAGAAGAAGCACCGGCUAACUCCGUGCCAGCAGCCGCGGUAAUACGGAGGGUGCAAGCGUUAAUCGGAAUUACUGGGCGUAAAGCGCACGCAGGCGGUCUGUCAAGUCGGAUGUGAAAUCCCCGGGCUCAACCUGGGAACUGCAUUCGAAACUGGCAGGCUAGAGUCUUGUAGAGGGGGGUAGAAUUCCAGGUGUAGCGGUGAAAUGCGUAGAGCUCUGGAGGAAUACCGGUGGCGAAGGCGGCCCCCUGGACAAAGACUGACGCUCAGGUGCGAAAGCGUGGGGAGCAAACAGG